GAUUCCCCCAGUAGCGGCGAGCGAACGGGGAGCAGCCCAGAGCCUGAAUCAGUGUGUGUGUUAGUGGAAGCGUCUGGAAAGGCGCGUGAUACAGGGUGACAGCCCCGUACACAAAAAUGCACAUGCUGUGAGCUCGAUGAGUAGGGCGGGACACGUGGUAUCCUGUCUGAAUAUGGGGGGACCAUCCUCCAAGGCUAAAUACUCCUGACUGACCGAUAGUGAACCAGUACCGUGAGGGAAAGGCGAAAAGAACCCCGGCGAGGGGAGUGAAAAAGAACCUGAAACCGUGUACGUACAAGCAGUGGGAGCACGCUUAGGCGUGUGACUGCGUACCUUUUGUAUAAUGGGUCAGCGACUUAUAUUCUGUAGCAAGGUUAACCGAAUAGGGGAGCCGAAGGGAAACCGAGUCUUAACUGGGCGUUAAGUUGCAGGGUAUAGACCCGAAACCCGGUGAUCUAGCCAUGGGCAGGUUGAAGGUUGGGUAACACUAACUGGAGGACCGAACCGACUAAUGUUGAAAAAUUAGCGGAUGACUUGUGGCUGGGGGUGAAAGGCCAAUCAAACCGGGAGAUAGCUGGUUCUCCCCGAAAGCUAUUUAGGUAGCGCCUCGUGAAUUCAUCUCCGGGGGUAGAGCACUGUUUCGGCAAGGGGGUCAUCCCGACUUACCAACCCGAUGCAAACUGCGAAUACCGGAGAAUGUUAUCACGGGAGACACACGGCGGGUGCUAACGUCCGUCGUGAAGAGGGAAACAACCCAGACCGCCAGCUAAGGUCCCAAAGUCAUGGUUAAGUGGGAAACGAUGUGGGAAGGCCCAGACAGCCAGGAUGUUGGCUUAGAAGCAGCCAUCAUUUAAAGAAAGCGUAAUAGCUCACUGGUCGAGUCGGCCUGCGCGGAAGAUGUAACGGGGCUAAACCAUGCACCGAAGCUGCGGCAGCGACGCUUAUGCGUUGUUGGGUAGGGGAGCGUUCUGUAAGCCUGUGAAGGUGUACUGUGAGGUAUGCUGGAGGUAUCAGAAGUGCGAAUGCUGACAUAAGUAACGAUAAAGCGGGUGAAAAGCCCGCUCGCCGGAAGACCAAGGGUUCCUGUCCAACGUUAAUCGGGGCAGGGUGAGUCGACCCCUAAGGCGAGGCCGAAAGGCGUAGUCGAUGGGAAACAGGUUAAUAUUCCUGUACUUGGUGUUACUGCGAAGGGGGGACGGAGAAGGCUAUGUUGGCCGGGCGACGGUUGUCCCGGUUUAAGCGUGUAGGCUGGUUUUCCAGGCAAAUCCGGAAAAUCAAGGCUGAGGCGUGAUGACGAGGCACUACGGUGCUGAAGCAACAAAUGCCCUGCUUCCAGGAAAAGCCUCUAAGCAUCAGGUAACAUCAAAUCGUACCCCAAACCGACACAGGUGGUCAGGUAGAGAAUACCAAGGCGCUUGAGAGAACUCGGGUGAAGGAACUAGGCAAAAUGGUGCCGUAACUUCGGGAGAAGGCACGCUGAUAUGUAGGUGAAGUCCCUCGCGGAUGGAGCUGAAAUCAGUCGAAGAUACCAGCUGGCUGCAACUGUUUAUUAAAAACACAGCACUGUGCAAACACGAAAGUGGACGUAUACGGUGUGACGCCUGCCCGGUGC
rnacentral:rRNA from 1 species